CAUGGAAUGUACCGUCACCCGGGCUCCAUACUUAGCUCCAGAGUGGGGGAAAUGAAGCUGGGCAGAGCUGGACUGGACAAGAUGACACGAAACAAAGGGGAAAUGGGGAAGGUGAAAUCUCAUUUUCCUGGAAAGUGGACGAUUCUUUCAGAUUAUUGCACUGAAGACAGAAAGUAACUCAGAUGCUAUUUCUGCUUUCUAAGCAGCAUUUGCAAAAUGAAAUGGAGGAUGUAAAGUGGGAUACUUUCAGAUUCUCUCUUUAAUGUGUUCAGGGUCCCAAAGGAUUCUGACUCACCUGAAUCCAUUGAGUAUGUUUUCUUUGAUUAAGGAGAUCCAGAGCCACACUUAUUAAAAAGCCUCUGCCAUUAUCCUUGCCAAGUACUUUUAUUCCUUUGC
rnacentral:lncRNA from 10 species